rfam:Gorilla gorilla gorilla genomic chromosome, chr15, whole genome shotgun sequence
UUUUUAGUAUGAGUAUGUCCCGUGCAGUAUUUGGGACAUAAUUAUACUAAAA